rnacentral:lncRNA from 1 species
CAGAGAAGGAAGUUCAAAGCACUGACUGAACAAUGCCUCUCACCUCAGUAAGGAUGCUGUAGUAAGAACAACACAUUUUCCUUUCUGGUCACGUAUCCUUCAUGACAUGUCACUGCAAGGCAUCUGUCAGAAGAUUUUUUUUGUUGCUGUUGUGUCCUGUAUCUUGAUAAUACCAGUCUUGAGAGCACCCAAUCUUCUUGAUGGACAUUCUGCAGAUUCUUUGUGGGAUCUCCUUCUACUGGAUAUUGUUGUCCUCUGGAGAAAGUGUGUAUCGCAGCUUGCCAGAGCUACCAUUGGGUCACACAACACCAGCUUUUGCGUGGCUGAUACCUCAUUCAUGCUUACGUGAACAUGUAUCUUUGACAUGGAGUGUGACAGCUGUCCUUUGUGGAGGGG